GGGGAUGUAUAUAUUCGACGGGGAGGAAGUUACUACGAGUGCAAGCCGGUGCUGAUCACCGACACCGUAAAAAGCGGCGAUCGACUUAUAAAUGCCAACAAACGUUUGGCACCCCGAUACGCUUUCGCGUAAAUCCGGGGCAUUUUGCAGCUUUCUCUCUUGGUGGAGACUGUAAGGUGAAACAGCAGCCAAGAGGACUUUUUCAAAGCUGGUCACUUUGAAGAGCGGUCCUUAAACAAAUCGACCUUUCUUUAAGCUUUAUCUUGCUAACCGGCAGGCUUAAGGGAGAAAUUUGGUUAGAUAAGCUUGUAGAGACCGUGGUAGUUUCUUUUUCGGACCCGGGGGAAGAGCCCGGCAUCUCCACCA
rnacentral:tmRNA from 1 species